rnacentral:rRNA from 1 species
GCUUGUCUCAAAGAUUAAGCCAUGCAUGUCUAAGUAUAAACAAAUCUAUACGUGAAACUGCGAAUGGCUCAUUAUAUCAGUUAUAGUUUAUUUGAUGGUUCUUGCUACUUGGAUAACCGUAGUAAUUCUAGAGCUAAUACAUGCGUCAAACCUCGACUUCUGGGAGAGGUGUAUUUAUUAGAUUGAAACCAAUGCAGUCUUCGGGCUGGUAUUGUGUUGAGUCAUAAUAACUGUGCGGAUCGCGUUUUACGCGAUAAAUCGAUUGAGUUUCUGCCCUAUCAGCUUUGGAUGGUAGGAUAUGGGCCUACCAUGGCAUUAACGGGUAACGGGGAAUUAGGGUUUGAUUCCGGAGAGGGAGCCUUAGAAACGGCUACCACAUCCAAGGAAGGCAGCAGG